rnacentral:rRNA from 1 species
GUCAGCAGCCAUAUCAUCAUGCAACUCACAAGUAGCAACCCAGACUGAAGUAGUUUUCCCAGACUGAAGCUCAGCAGGCGUGAGCCUGGUCAGUACCUAGACAGGAGACCUCCUGGGAAAAGCUAAGGUUGCUGCUGGAA